AACAGAUUUUACGAAUACCCUUCAUCUUGGAAAUAAUUAAUGCAGUUCCCUUCAUUAUCUCAAUCUUCUGGCCCUCCUUAAGGAAUCUGUUUGUCCCAGUCUUUCUAAACUGUUGGCUUGCCAAACAUGCCUUGGAAAAUAUGAUUAAUGAUCUGCACAGAGCCAUACAGCGUACCCAGUCUGCAAUGUUUAAUCAAGUUUUGAUUUUAAUAUCUACAUUACUAUGCCUUAUCUU